rnacentral:lncRNA from 1 species
CUAAGGCCGACAACUUGUUUGCUACUAGAAAUGCAAAAAGCAAAGAUUUCUUACCUUAGCUGCAUCAUAUCCCUGCACAUUUUCUUCAUAAUAUUAAGAUAUUAAAAAGGUGGCGCCACAUGUUAAUUAGGUGUAAAGCACAUUUCAGAGAUCAAUCAUACUUCACUUUCGGCAUCUGUCAUCCAGUGGGGUUUGGUUUUGGGGUUGGGGAGAUGCAGAAUUCUGUAGGUAUGGCC